rnacentral:rRNA from 1 species
AUUGAACUCUGGCGGCAGGCCUAACACAUGCAAGUCGAACGAGUGGCGGACGGGUGAUUAAUGUCUGGGAAACUUCCUGAUGGAUGGGGAUAACUACUGGAAACGGUAGCUAAUACCGCAUACCAUCGGAUGUCCCCAGAUGGGAUUAGCUAGUAGGUGGGGUAAAGGCUCACCUAGGCGACGAUCCCUAGCUGGUCUGAGAGGAUGACCAGCCAACCUGGAACUGAGACACGGUCCAGAAGUCUACGGGAGGCAGCAGUGGGGAAGAUGGCACAAUGGGCGCAAGCCUGAUGCAGCCAUGCCGCGUGUAUGAAGAAGGCCGUCGGGUUGUAAAGUACUUUCAGCGGGGAGGCGUUACCCGAAGAAGAAGCACCGGCUAACUCCGUGCCAGCAGCCGCGGUAAUAC